rnacentral:rRNA from 1 species
UACGUAGGGCGCAAGCGUUGUCCGGAAUUAUUGGGCGUAAAGAGCGCGCAGGCGGUCGUACAAGUCGCGUGUGAAAGCCCCUGGCUCAACUGGGGAGGGUCACGCGAUACUGUUCGACUUGAAGGCAGGAGAGGGAAGUGGAAUUCCCGGUGUAGUGGUGAAAUGCGUAGAUAUCGGGAGGAACACCAGUGGCGAAGGCGACUUCCUGGCCUGUUCUUGACGCUGAGGCGCGAAAGCUAGGGUAGCAAACGGG